AUUAAAAUAACCUGUCAAGCAGUCAAUUGACUACAUUGCAGUCAAAAGUAGGGCAAAUUCAUACGAAACCAAAAUGUGGGUCAUAGUUGUCUAAGCCUCUGCUGUGAGGCCAAACCCAUGAACAAAGACGCAUUGAUAUCUGCAAUAGUUUUUUUGGCAAAACAAACUCACAGCCGAACGUUGCAAUAAAUACAUAGACCAUCUGGACAAAGUCAUCAACAGAGUCAUAGCACUGAAGGGAGAGACUAUUUAUUUGUUGUGUGGUUCAUGUUGCUGGUGGCUCUGGGAUCCAUAACGAAUUGGCGUAGGGGAGGAGUCUGGUAUCUGGGGUGACGAAAUCCCUGUCUCCCAGAAAGGAAAAGUGGUAGCUCAAUUGGGCUUGGCCACGACAAAUUUUGGCGUAGUCAGCUCGGAUCCCUGAUUUCCACAGCAACAUGGACCAAGAACAGCAACAGCCACGAGGGGUCACUGGGGGAUUGGUCCCAGGAGUCUUUCCUUGGUUUGUUGGCGGGCCAUGGAUACCAAAGUUUGGGUUAGAGGGAUGUGAACAGUUUCUAGAGUGGAAAAAGAACAUUGAGGUUUGUUUAAGGGCACUAAAGUUGGAUGAUAGGCAACAGGUUGAUCUUGUAAUGGGGGCUUUACAAGGGGAGCCUAAGAGGGAGGUGGAGCUGCUUAAGGAGGAGGAAAAAAACACUGUUACAAACCUAUAUAAGGCUCUAGAGGGGUUAUAUGGGCGUAAGGCUGGGUUGGCUGACCUGAGAGGGUCCUUCUUCACUUGUAGGCAGCACUCAGGGGAGGGGGUGGGUUCAUUCAUCCUGCGUCUCCGUGAGUGUCAUUACAGGUGGAGGCAGAAGGAGCCAGCAGAUGACGACGAUGAAGCCCUUAGGAGCCAGCUAGUGACCGGUCUGUUAGGUGGCCCAGUGAAACAAGAACUUAAGCGCAUGAUACGACGGUCACCCACACUCUCCUUCUCCGAGGCCUGUAAAGAAGCUCGGGAGAUUGAAUGGGAAGGGACCCCUGAGGAAAGGUCUGGAGAAGUUGGGACCUGUAGGACCUACCUGCCGCCUCCACCAGGUCAAGACACGCCUCCAAGCAACCCCCCACCCAGCCUGGAGACCUGGAAGGAAGGUCUGAAGGAGGAGCUGUUCAAGGAACUACGGGAGCAGAUGAGGGAAUUCCAAGAUGGCUGGCUGAGGGAAAUCUCGGGGUGAUGGAGUGGCAGAUUGGGUGGGUGCAUCGGCCAGCCCCAUGACCCAACGACAGCGGUGACAAGGCCGUGGAUCGAGUGCCAGGGCUGUGGCCAGGUGGGAUGAGCAGGGACGGCCAAUCUGCUUACAGUGCGAACAACCAGGGCAUAUGCGGAGGGAAUGUCCUGACUUGCGAGGUUCAGCCCGAGAAUACCCUGCUGCAAGCCGGGAGGUUCGGCCCCAGGUGAGAGCUGGGUAUGUAGAACCUGCACUGCGAGAGGCCUUAGUGGGGGACAGCCCUGAAAUCCAGGUCCUGGCUUCGGGAAGGCCUGUGCCAUGUAUAGUUGACACAGGCUCUCAAGUGACUCUAUUUAGCCAAACUGUCUUUGAACGCUAUGUGAAGGGGGUUGAGAUGCGGGGUGCCACAGAAGUCCCAUCGCUCACCCUCCGUGCAGUAAAUGGACUACACAUCCCAUAUGUGGGCUAUGCAGUGAUGGAUUUCACCGUGGCUGGAGUGUUGGUCCCCCAGCGAGGUGGGGUGAUCGUGGAGGAUGAACAUUUGCCAGCCCCAUAUGGUAUCCUGGGUAUGAAUAUAAUCUGUCAGUGCUGGGAAGUGUUAGAGCAGCUCGUUCUAUGUUUGUGUCCACUCUCCCUAGGCCGGCACGGAUCGCAUGGAACCAGGCGUUUGCAACCUGCCGGCACCUGCAAGUGACAACAAGUGGUCCAAAGGAGACCGCUUUGGCCAGGCUUCGGACGGCAGGCCCCCGGAGGCUACAACCCCAGACGGAGUCUGUGGUUUGGGCAGAGGUGCCAUCAGGACUGCUGAGAGAUAGACCAAGUGCUGGUUGAAGACUAUCAACAAGAAUGGUGUGUUGGUUGGGCUUUGGCAACUGUCCAAAGAGGGCAGAUACCACUCCGGGUCUGCAAUCUCCACUCCUAUCCAGUCGAGUUACCCACCCGCCGCCCUCUAGCUAAUGUGGAGAAGCUGGAGCCUGACUCACUGCAGUUGCCCAACGAGCUGGUGUUGCGACCUCAAGGUGAGGAAGUGGUGGAAGUCGAGGUCCGACCUGUUGGCCAUGCGCUCCCACAGCACCUCAGUACACUGAGCGGACAGGGUGAGGGCCUGACACCUGAAGAAAGAGGACAGCUGCACGCUUUGCUGGAGAAGUGGCAGCGGGUUUUCGCACAGGAUGAAGAAGACCAUGGCCGGACAGACGCAGUUUACCACCACCCAUGGGUUGAAGUUGCAGCCUGUGAAGUGCAGUCUACUCCAGCGUUCCGUGAAGUAUUUAGGGCAUGUGGUCAGCCAGGGUGGAGUCUCCACGGACCCAGAGAAGACGGUAGCGGUACGAGGAUGGCCGGUACCCACUACGGUGAGAGAAGGAAGGUCAUUCCUUGGGUUCGUGGGGUACUACCGUAGAUUUAUCCCAGGGUUCUCCAAGCGGGCAUCCGCACUGCAUGCAUUGUUGAAGGGGACUAAUGGGGCGUCAUGAGCAAGUAUACAGUGGACAGAGGGGUGCCAGGAGGCUUUUGACGGCUUGAAGCAGGCCCUCGUGGAGGUCCUGGUGUUGGCCUAUGCCGAUUACACUCAGCCAUUCCAUCUGUAUAUUGACACCAGCCUUCAGGGCUUGGGGGCAGUCCUGACUCAGAUAGGGUGGCAGGGAACGUGUCGUGGCAUAUGCCAGCCGGAGUCUGCAUGAUGCCGAGAGGAACGACAGAAACUAUAGUGCCUUUAAGCUGGAACUGUUGGCUCUUAAAUGGGCCAUAACGGAAAAGUUUAAAGAUUAUCUGUGGGGUAUGAGUUUCAUUGUGUUCACAGACCAUCGGCCGCUCCUCCACCUGAAGACUGCAAAACUUGGGGCUGUGGAGCAGCGGUGGGCAGGCCAGCUGGCCUGUUAUGACUUUGAGCUGUGCCACAAGCCUAGUGUGUGGAGAACCGGAAUGCCGACGCCCUGUCCAGACAGCCUGGCCCUACAGCAGUGGGUCAAGUGGUUGCCCAUGAGGAGGUCGACUGGGUGGAGAGGCAAGGAAGGGAUCCUGUGCUGGCUGAGGUGAUACGGGGAAAUUAGCUGGGACAACGCCCACCGAGGAGGCCCGGAGAACAUUGCCAGGAGCCAGCCAGGCACUGUUGAAAGUUUGGGAGCAGCUGGAAGUGCGACAGGGCGUGCUGGUAUAUCAGCUGUCUGGAGAAGAAGGAUCGGUGGUGGUUGUCCCCCAGAGCUAGCGCCAGGCAGUAUGGCAGGAGUUCCAUGAGGCAAUGGGACAUGCCAGGGGGGACGAUUGGUCAAGGCGCUCCAGACCAGGUUCUUCUGGCCAGGGCUGAAGGGGGACGUUGAGGCCUGGGAAAAGAAGUGUCCACAAUGCCUGGUUGGGUCUGCUGGGCGUGUGCUCACACGAGAUCAGACAGCAGAGACUGCGGCACGAGUAUUAUGGAGGGAGGUGUUCCAGCGCUACGGCUGUCCGGAAAAGUUGCUGUCUGACCAAGGCCCGGCAUUUGAGUCCCUGCUACUCCGCCAGCUGUGUACAUUGUAUGGGUGCAAGAAGAUCCGAACCACUCCUUAUCGGCCUCAAGGGAAUGGGGCCUGUGAGCGGUGGAAUCAGCAGCCCGACCCCCAAGGACCAGUAUACCAAAUGCGUCCCGAAGGUGCUGAGGGGCCCUUGCGAACUCCCUCCAUCGGCGCCAUCUACAUGUCUGCCCCCCUGGAUGUGAACUGCGACCUCCGGAGACAGCAGAUGGAGGGAGAGAAGUAUGUGCAACUGAGGUGAAAGCAGCCGACUGCUGAUGGCAAACAUGACCCCAAGGACCAGGAUGGCAUGGACAUGGGACAUGGAUGGGUAGCUUCUGGAUGAAAAGAAAGACAAUGAUGUGCUAGGAGAGUAAUCUCCCAUCAUGUUUGUGUGUGUGUGCGCCCAACUGGGUGCAUGCACAUUUCUGGUUGUGAUAAGAGUGUUGCUUAUA